GAUUGUAAACUCCUUUUGAAGGGGAUGAAUGCCCUGGUGAAGAGCCAGGGGUGACAGUACUCUUCGAAUAAGCCACGGCUAACUACGUGCCAGCAGCCGCGGUAAUACGUAGGUGGCAAGCGUUACUCGGAAUCACUAGGCGUAAAGCGUGCGUAGGUGGUUUGUUAAGUCGGAUGUGAAAUCCCCAGGCUCAACCUGGGAACUGCAUCCGAUACUGGAUGGCUUGAAUUCGGGAGAGGGAUGCAGAAUUCCAGGUGUAGCGGUGAAAUGCGUAGAUAUCUGGAGGAAUACCGGUGGCGAAGGCGGCAUCCUGGACCGACAUUGACGCUGAACGGCGAAAGCUAGGGGAGCAAACGGGAUUAGAUACCCUGGUAGUCCACGCCCUAAACGAUGUCAACUAGUUGUCGGGUCUUAACGGACUUGGUAACGCAGCUAACGCGUGAAGUUGACCGCCUGGGGAGUACGGUCGCAAGAUUAAAACUCAAAGGAAUUGACGGGGGCCCGCACAAGCGGCGGAGCAUGCGGAUUAAUUCGAUGCAACGCGAAGAACCUUACCAAGGCUUGACAUGGACCGGAUCGCCGCAGAAAUGUGGUUUCUCCUUUUGGGGCCGGUUCACAGGUGGUGCAUGGUUGUCGUCAGCUCGUGUCGUGAGAUGUUGGGUUAAGUCCCGCAACGAGCGCAACCCUCGUUCCAU
rnacentral:rRNA from 1 species